GUGCUCACUUCAUCAGCAUAUAUACUAAAAUUGGAAUUAUACAGAAAAGAUUAAUGUGACCCCCAAUCAAGGAUGACACACAAAUUUGUGAAGCAUUUCAUAUUUUU